UCAAUACACCUUAUUUUCUGGAAUGGAGGGAGCAUCAUUCUUGGUGUGACGGACAAAUAGAAAGAAAGGUCCGCAAAGAGUGCACUCACAAAAGCCAUGUACUGUAGGCCAUGAGUGAUUACCUUGAAAGCUUUCUCAUCGAGGCCAUAGUUCCAAACUAUACCAUCCUUUAAGAAACAUUCAAUCAGAAUUGGAGGAAAUGCCAUCCAUUGGGGUUCUGAAGUUCUGAACUUUGAUCUCUCUAUUUGAAUCGUUGUUAUUAUUUUGUCUGUAGGCCAUGAGCAAAUAAUCUGGAGAGUGCCUAAUGUUCCUCAACUUUUCUUAUGUUCCAAAUUCACUAUUAGUGUUGAUCAUCUUCAAAGAACAGAAAACGUAUGACAGGAUUAAGAUUGUAAUUUGUGCUCAUAUUUUUUUUUCCAAAAUUCACUGCUUGAUUAAUUUUGUUGUAGAAGCUUGAGAGAAAAAGAUAGUAAAUACAUAGUAACUUUAUAUUGAUUUAAGAGUAAUAGCAACACACCUGCUUUUAACUAUAUAUAAAUAUCUCUAUAUUGUUCUAUACUGUCCGUCAGCAAGUGAGCGUUUGAAUUGCUGUUGAUGUGCAUUGUACAUGGGCUUGGCCACUUGGAUUGUGAGACGAGAUCGAUCGACUAGAUGCUUGUUUAUUUGUGUUGUUCUUAAUUUAACUUUGUGGAAGGUUGCGAGCCGAAUGCAUCAUCGACGAGGAGGUGAGUUUGGAUUUGGACGGUGAAGAUGAGAAGAUAGUUGGGGAGGAAGAAGAUAUGCGGUGGCACGAGGUGGUGGCAUAAAUGGGGCUGUUGUGCUGCAUGUCCAAGGCUGCACUAGGGAGGCGCGAGCGGUGCCUCCCGCAAGAUUCCAUUGGGGCGAUGCAUGGGCGGCAGCCACCCCCAAGACCCUGUUAGCACAAUUUCAUAAUAAUAUAUUUAUACUGAUUGUUGUGCAAAAUAGAACACUAUUGUUUGUAGUUAUAUUAGUUUAUUUUCUCUAUAUACAAUGACACGUCUUAUUAUGUGUCCAAGAGGAAGGAAAAAUAUAUGUUUCUAGGUGUUAUGUGACUUACCUUUAAAAGGAAUAACUCUAAUAAGAAGUCCUGUUUUA